CAUUAAAGUUAUGGAAAGUAUUUUCCAAGGAAGAGGUCUCAAUUCUCAAGCAUAUGCUAAACCAUCUGGGAGCAUGCACCAUGCGUACCACAACCUUCAACUGGAGAAACUUUAUUGUUGUCCUUAAGAAUAUGAAAUAAACGAUCAAUCAUUGGAUGACAUUCAACAUGUUCAAAACCCAAGGUGAUGGAGAAGGUCGUUAAGAAGAUCUCGGAGUAGGAAAUUUCCACGCCUAAAUAAUGCAAGACCCUAUUUAAGCCUGUAAUAGUUCUAUUUCAGGUUUUGCACUUAUUUCUCUUCUUCUUACUGGCUUUGUUUAUUUUUCCCCCUAAUGAUAAAUUUACGAUAUUAUAAUGUUUAUCUUUGAGGCACGAUAUAGUUAA